CCUGACUGCUAUCGGAUUGAUACUAAGCCAUGCGAGUCAUUGUAGCAAUACAAGGCAGACGGCUCAGUAACGCGUAGUCAACCUAACCUAUGGACGGGAAUAACCUCGGGAAACUGAGAAUAAUGCCCGAUAGAACACUAUAUCUGGAAUGGUUUGUGUUCCAAAUGAUUUAUCGCCGUAGGAUGGGACUGCGGCCUAUCAGUUUGUUGGUGAGGUAAUGGCCCACCAAGACUAUUACAGGUACGGGCUCUGAGAGGAGUAGCCCGGAGAUGGGUACUGAGACACGGACCCAGGCCCUAUGGGGCGCAGCAGGCGAGAAAACUUUGCAAUGUGCGAAAGCACGACAAGGUUAAUCCGAGUGAUUUGUGCUAAACGAAUCUUUUGUUAGUUCUAGAAAUACUAACGAAUAAGGGGUGGGCAAGUUCUGGUGUCAGCCGCCGCGGUAAAACCAGCACCUCAAGUGGUCAGGAUGAUUAUUGGGCCUAAAGCAUCCGUAGCCGGAUCUGUAAGUUUUCGGUUAAAUCUGUAUGCUCAACAUACAGGCUGCCGGGAAUACUGCAGAUCUAGGGAGUGGGAGAGGUAGACGGUACUCGGUAGGAAGGGGUAAAAUCCUUUGAUCUAUUGAUGACCACCUGUGGCGAAGGCGGUCUACCAGAACACGUCCGACGGUGAGGGAUGAAAGCUGGGGGAGCAAACCGGAUUAGAUACCCGGGUAGUCCCAGCUGUAAACUAUGCAAACUCAGUGAUGCAUUGACUUGUGGUCAAUGCAGUGCUGCAGGGAAGCCGUUAAGUUUGCCGCCUGGGAAGUACGUACGCAAGUAUGAAACUUAAAGGAAUUGGCGGGGGAGCACCACAAGGGGUGAAGCCUGCGGUUC
rnacentral:rRNA from 2 species